GUAUAAUGAGAUUGAAGUCUCAGAAACUGUCUCCUGCUAGGAAGCUACUAGCUACAAAUCAGACAGGACGAGGGAGACGCAAAAUGGAAUCUCAGUGCGGUGGUUGUGGGCUUUGAUUGGUAGCAGCAGUUACAGCUCCUUAUAGGAGGAAUGAAGCACCUGCGUGUUUUGCAGGGUCUGCCCAGUGUCCUUGGUGCAUUAAUCUGUGCAAUCCACUUAUUCUGUCCACCAAGGCCUUUGUGUGAUCCUCCUGUUUCUCCACACGUGGGAAUUCCCUGUGUCCUUAGGUUACCCUCAAUGGUGUUUGAUAUACAUCUGACAGUGGGAUAUUCCAGUUCAUAAUUCAUUUACACAUCAGAAAGUUUUUUCCAAAAAAGCAUGGGGAGGAAGUAUUUCAGUUUUAUGACUGGGUUCCAAUGCAAGUUUACAGAGCAAGAGAGUAAACUGAACAGAUUGCUUUGGAAGUCAUUAAGGCAAUAACCCUGGAAUGAAGUGAUGCCUCUUAUGACGUUGCCCAGAAUGGAACCAUAAUUAGUAUCAAAAUGAGAAGAUUCAAACAAGCUGUU
rnacentral:lncRNA from 1 species